CGCUGCUCUGAACGAUGCCAGCCUGUUUGAUGCCAGCCUCUUUUCCCUUCCCUCAAGCUGCAAAGUUGGCGGAGAAAGCUUUCAAUCACCGGAGGGUCACCGACACGGCUCGGGCGUCGAGUGAGCAAGAGGAAAACGCUGCAGGGGACAGAAACGCCCAGGUGCAGAACCGAGCAGGGGAGGAGUUGGUUCCAAGCCAGAUCCAGGAGCCGCUGGAUCCCAAGGCGGCUGAUGAUCCAGAGUCUUCCUCGGGGACCAUCCUGCUCCUGGAAGCCGUGUCCGGCCAGCGGCCUUCCGAGUCUGCUCCUUUCCCAGGCCAGGAGGCGAGCGGUGAAGACCUUGGGCCCCAUUCCCGCGACCACGAUUCAGGCCCCGAACCACAGCCGCCGCCUUCGGAGGAGGAGGAGGAAGCUGGAGGCCUGGCACCCCUCAAAGUCCAGGAGGGGCUGAACUCCUCCGGAGGAGAAGCCGCCUCUCCAACCAGGGAAGAGGAGCCGCUGGAGAUGGGCAGCGCUGGGAGGGACAUUCCCCCCAAAGAAGGGUCUCUCCUGAGCCAGAAGAAGGAGGUAAAUCUGUGUCCAAUUUUGGCCCCCACCCUAUAAAAAAAGGAGGUCGAGGCUCUAGAAAGAGGGCAGAGAAGAGCAACCAGGAGGAUGAGGGGACUGGAGGUUAGAACAUACGAUGAACGGUUGCAGGAACCGGGCCUGGCUAGUCUAGGGAAGAGAAAGGACCAA
rnacentral:lncRNA from 1 species